rnacentral:rRNA from 1 species
UACGUAGGGGGCAAGCGUUGUUCGGAUUUACUGGGCGUAAAGCGUGCGUAGGUGGUGAGUUAAGUCUGAUGUGAAAUCCCCGGGCUCAACCUGGGAAUGGCAUUGGAUACUGGCUCGCUAGAGUGCGGUAGAGGGUGGGUGGAAUUCCCGGUGUAGCAGUGAAAUGCGUAGAGAUCGGGAGGAACAUCUGUGGCGAAGGCGGCCACCUGGACCAACACUGACACUGAGGCACGAAAGCGUGGGGAGCAAACAGGG